rnacentral:rRNA from 1 species
AUGGGCAUUCUUGAGCCGAAACAGGAGAUUAUAAAGCUACUUACCUCAGAUGUACCUGACUUGAAAGUUAUUUGUAUUGUUGGAUGCGUUGGUAUGGGAAAGACUGCCCUUUCAAGGGCUCUUUAUGAUGACAAGGAUCUUACAAUAUUCUUUGAUUGUAAAGUAUGGUUAGUGGCAUCUGAAUGCAGCAAUGCGGAAAGCGUCAAAACCAAAGUUCUUGAACAGAUUAAGCACCUGAAGUCCUGGGACGCUUUGCAUGAAUUCUUGAAGCGUAGAAGGUAUCUGUUAUUCAUCGAUGAUAUGCCCAAAGGAUCAGAAUGGAGGAUACAUGAUAUUUUUCCAUCAGAUAUGGGAAGCGAUGGCAGCAGAAUAGUUGUGACAACAAGCGUGCACUCAGUGGCUGCUUCCUACAGCUCCGGCAACCACCUAUUCACUAUGCGAUCACUUGAUAAAACUACUUCUGAAAAUUUGCUUUGGAAGAACAUCUUGGAAGCAUCACCUGCAAUAAGGAAUGGUUCAGAAACCAUCCUGCAGAAGUGUGAUGGCUUACCACUGGCUUUAAAUGGUGUUUCUGAUUAUCUAAGUUCUAAAGGAGUUCGAGGUUCGCUUUUGACUGAAUCCUGUUGUGAGGAAGUAGGGAAACAUCUUGGUAAGUUCAUGACAGGCAAUGAGAGGGCAUUUGGCAAAAUGAGAAGAGCUCUUAUCCGAUGUUAUGAUUGUUUGCCUAAUUAUGAUGUUAAGAGUUGCUUAGCAUAUACUUGCAUUUUUCCGACGCGACAUCAGAUUAACGUCAUGCAGCUAGCGAGAAAGUUGUUUGCUGAAGGCUUGGUGCAGGAAAAUAUAGCUGUUCAUGAUUGUCUCUCAACACUUAUUGAUAUGAGUAUGCUCGAGCCUACACCGCUGCGCAGCAGUCUCAGUAACACCACUAAAAGAUGUGAAUUGCACAAUGUAAUGCGAGAGUUUGCCAUCCAGAAGGCCCUUUCAAGGCAUCUUGUUACUUUUGUUACUCGAGAUGAGCUGCUGCACGAGGGCGGCCGUAUUCGCCGACUUAGUGUUCAUCAUAGCUCCAAAGCAGGAUGUGAAGCAUUGGCGAAGCAGAAGCAGUUCAGCUUGUCCUCUCUCAGGUCCUUAACAACCUUCAACAGUGAGCUUUUUGAUUUCAAGAGUAGUAAUCUGUUGCGUGUGUUAGAUCUAGAAGGUUGCAAAGGUCUUGACGAUGGAGUUGUCAAGGAUAUCUUUAACUUGGUGUUUCUCAGAUUCAUCUGCCUUAGGAAUACUGACAUAACCCGAAUUCCUAAAAGGGUAAGAAAGCUCCUGCAUCUGGAGACACUGGAUGUUCGGGAGACACAGGUGAACACAUUACCAUUGGAAGUUAUCAUGCUACCUGAAUUAGGUUCCCUGUUUGGUAUGUUUGAGCUGCAACUUCCAACUGACACGGCAGGAAUGCAAAAGCUUGUGAAGUUCUUGAAAGAUGAUAGUAAGUUGCAUGCUUUUGGUGGGCUUGUCAUCACAAAGGCACAACUUCAAGGAAGUUCAAUGGCAGAAAAACAAGCUUUUGCAAUCAUAAUAAAAGAAGCGAAAAGUCUGAGAAAGGUUAAAUUCUGGUACAAAGCUUCUGCAGUUUUCCAGAGGAAGAAAGUAUGGGUUAAAUCUUUGUUUGAUGCUGCUGCCUCAGCCUCUCAGCCUCAGGAUGAUGCUGCUGCCCCUCACUCUCAGGAUUCUGAAGCAACAGACAGUGUAUUGGCAGCCUCUCUCACCUCUUCUAUUGGCAAAAGAACCGUGGAACUCCGGUCUCUUUCUAUUGAUUUUGGUGUCCUGGAGAAUGAGUUUUUGGGUUCCAUAGAGGUUCUCGUCUCUCUCAAGUCCAUCAAACUGAGGCAAACGUCGGGAACUUUGCCUGACCCUGCAAAGUUACGCGUGAUGCGUAGUCUCAUAAAACUGCAUCUUGUUUCGACUGGUUUGACCAGCGAACAGUUGGAAGUACUGCAACACUUGGAAUGCCUGGAACUUUUGAGGAUCAAAGAGGAUCGUCCCGGAUUCUGGUGGAAGUACUGCAACACUUGGAAUGCCUGGAACUUUUGA